rnacentral:rRNA from 1 species
UACGUAGGGUGCGAGCGUUAAUCGGAAUUACUGGGCGUAAAGGGUGCGCAGGUGGCCGCGCAAGUCGAGUGUGAAAUCCCCGAGCUUAACUUGGGAAUUGCGCUCGAAACUACGUGGCUCGAGUGUGGCAGAGGAAGGUGGAAUUCCACGUGUAGCGGUGAAAUGCGUAGAGAUGUGGAGGAACACCGAUGGCGAAGGCAGCCUUCUGGGCCAACACUGACGCUCAUGCACGAAAGCGUGGGGAGCAAACAGG